GAUGAACGCUGGCGGCGUGCCUAAUACAUGCAAGUCGAGCGAAGCGGGGACGGGUGAGUAACACGUGGAUAACCUCCUAUAAGGCUGGGAUAACUUCGGGAAAACGGAGCUAAACCGGAAACUUAUCGAUGGAUCUGGGCUGCAUUAGCUAGUUGGUAGGGUAACGGCUUACCAAGGCAACGAUGGAUAGCCGACCUGAGAGGGUGACCGGCCAAACUGGAACUGAGACACGGUCCAGACUCCUACGGGAGGCAGCAGUGGGGAAUAUUCCGCAAUGGGCGAAAGCCUGACGCAGCCACGCCGCGUGUGUGAAGAAGGUCUUCGGAUCGUAAAACACUGUUAGUAGGGAGGCGUUACCUGCUCAGAAAGCAACGGCUAACUACGUGCCAGCAGCCGCGGUAAUAC
rnacentral:rRNA from 1 species